GACGAACGCUGGCGGCGUGCUUAACACAUGCAAGUCGAACGGCAAGGCCCUGCUUUUGUGGGGUGCUCGAGUGGCGAACGGGUGAGUAACACGUGAGUAACCUGCCCUUGACUUUGGGAUAACUUCAGGAAACUGGGGCUAAUACCGGAUAGGAGCUCCUGCUGCAGGGUGGGGGUUGGAAAGUUUCGGCGGUUGGGGCUGGACUCGCGGCUUAUCAGCUUGUUGGUGGGGGAGUGGCUUACCAAGGCUUUGGCGGGUAGCCGGCCUGAGAGGGUGGCCGGCCACAUUGGGCCUGAGGUACGGCCCAGACUCCUACGGGAGGCAGCGGUGGCGAAUAUUGUCCAAUCGGCGCACGCCUGAUGAAGCAACGCCGCGUGCGGGAUGACGGCCUUCGGGUUGUAAACCGCUUUCGCCUGUGACGAAGCGUGAGUGACGGUAAUGGGUAAAGAAGCACCGGCUAACUACGUG
rnacentral:rRNA from 1 species